rnacentral:rRNA from 1 species
CUACUUGGAGGUUGUGCCCUUGAGGCGUGGCUUCCGGAGCUAACGCGUUAAGUAGACCGCCUGGGGAGUACGGCCGCAAGGUUAAAACUCAAAUGAAUUGACGGGGGCCCGCACAAGCGGUGGAGCAUGUGGUUUAAUUCGAUGCAACGCGAAGAACCUUACCUGGUCUUGACAUCCACAGAACUUUCCAGAGAUGGAYUGGUGCCUUCGGGAACUGUGAGACAGGUGCUGCAUGGCUGUCGUCAGCUCGUGUUGUGAAAUGUUGGGUUAAGUCCCGCAACGAGCGCAACCCUUAUCCUUUGUUGCCAGCGAUUAGGUCGGGAACUCAAAGGAGACUGCCAGUGAUAAACUGGAGGAAGGUGGGGAUGACGUCAAGUCAUCAUGGCCCUUACGACCAGGGCUACACACGUGCUACAAUGGCGCAUACAAAGAGAAGCGACCUCGCGAGAGCAAGCGGACCUCAUAAAGUGCGUCGUAGUCCGGAUUGGAGUCUGCAACUCGACUCCAUGAAGUCGGAAUCGCUAGUAAUCGUGGAUCAGAAUGCCACGGUGAAUACGUUCCCGGGCC